CGGCGAGCGAACGGGGAGCAGCCCAGAGCCUGAAUCAGUGUGUGUGUUAGUGGAAGCGUCUGGAAAGGCGCGCGAUACAGGGUGACAGCCCCGUACACAAAAAUGCACAUGCUGUGAGCUCGAUGAGUAGGGCGGGACACGUGGUAUCCUGUCUGAAUAUGGGGGGACCAUCCUCCAAGGCUAAAUACUCCUGACUGACCGAUAGUGAACCAGUACCGUGAGGGAAAGGCGAAAAGAACCCCGGCGAGGGGAGUGAAAAAGAACCUGAAACCGUGUACGUACAAGCAGUGGGAGCACGCUUAGGCGUGUGACUGCGUACCUUUUGUAUAAUGGGUCAGCGACUUAUAUUCUGUAGCAAGGUUAACCGAAUAGGGGAGCCGAAGGGAAACCGAGUCUUAACUGGGCGUUAAGUUGCAGGGUAUAGACCCGAAACCCGGUGAUCUAGCCAUGGGCAGGUUGAAGGUUGGGUAACACUAACUGGAGGACCGAACCGACUAAUGUUGAAAAAUUAGCGGAUGACUUGUGGCUGGGGGUGAAAGGCCAAUCAAACCGGGAGAUAGCUGGUUCUCCCCGAAAGCUAUUUAGGUAGCGCCUCGUGAAUUCAUCUCCGGGGGUAGAGCACUGUUUCGGCAAGGGGGUCAUCCCGACUUACCAACCCGAUGCAAACUGCGAAUACCGGAGAAUGUUAUCACGGGAGA
rnacentral:rRNA from 1 species